UCUAAUAUGGCAGAAUUAAGUGCGGUGGAUUUAAGCUCCACGAAUAAAGUUUUACUUCUUUUUUUAGAA
rnacentral:tRNA from 1 species